GCCGCCGUGGCUUAGCUGGUAGAGCGGGUGAUUCGUAAUCACCAGGUCGCGGGUUCAAAUCCCGCCGGCGGCU
rnacentral:tRNA from 1 species